rnacentral:rRNA from 1 species
UUGGCGGACGGGUGAGUAACGCGUGGAAAACCUGCCGUAUACUGGGGGAUAACACUUAGAAAUAGGUGCUAAUACCGCAUAAGCGCACAGCUUCGUAUGAAGCGGUGUGAAAAACUCUGGUGGUAUACGAUGGUUCCCGCGUCUGAUUAGCCAGUUGGUGGGGUAAUGGCCUACCAAGGCAACGAUCAGUAGCCGGCCUGAGAGGGUGAACGGCCACAUUGGGACUGAGACACGGCCCAAACUCCUACGGAAGGCAGCAG